ensembl:snRNA U2 U2 spliceosomal RNA
AUCACUUCUCAGCCUUUUGGCUAAGAUCAAGUGUAGUAUCUGUUUGUAUCAGUUUAAAGUUGAAUAAAAUCAUUUUCAUUGAGAACAACCUUAAAAGAUUCUUGUUUUGAGGGGCAAAAAUCAUAGGUCAUCUUACACACUUAAAGAAUUUUGCAUAAUCCCAUUCAGCAUUUGCCCUUGGGUUUAUGUCUU